CCUACGGGGCGCUGCAGUGGGGAAUAUUGGACAAUGGGCGAAAGCCUGAUCCAGCCAUGCCGCGUGUGUGAAGAAGGCCUUCGGGUUGUAAAGCACUUUCAGUGGGGAAGAAAGCCUUGGGGCUAAUACCCUCGAGGAAGGACAUCACCCACAGAAGAAGCACCGGCUAACUCCGUGCCAGCAGCCGCGGUAAUACGGAGGGUGCGAGCGUUAAUCGGAAUUACUGGGCGUAAAGCGCGCGUAGGCGGUCUGAUAAGCCGGUUGUGAAAGCCCCGGGCUCAACCUGGGAACAGCAUCCGGAACUGUCAGGCUAGAGUGCAGGAGAGGAAGGUAGAAUUCCCGGUGUAGCGGUGAAAUGCGUAGAGAUCGGGAGGAAUACCAGUGGCGAAGGCGGCCUUCUGGACUGACACUGACGCUGAGGUGCGAAAGCGUGGGUAGCAAACAGGAUUAGAUACCCUGGUAGUC
rnacentral:rRNA from 1 species